UUAAGUGUGGGGAGAAGCUGCGGCAGCCAAGAGCUGUGUGUCAGAGGCCCCGGGUUUCUCCCCACAG
rnacentral:miRNA from 1 species